UUGCUCGCUUUGGCAGCACAUAUAACUAAAAUUGAAAUGAUAGAAGAUUAGCAUAGCCCCUCCCUGCACAAGGAAGAUAUGCAAAUUAAUGAAGCGUUCCAUAUUUUA